UUGCACGUUCUCCCUGUGACCGUGUGGGUUUCCUCCGGGGGCUCCGGUUUCUUCCCACGCCCCAAAGACAUGUUGGUUUGCAGGUUAAUUGGCUUCUAAAUGGCUCCU